UACGUAGGGGGCAAGCGUUGUCCGGAUUUACUGGGCGUAAAGAGCGUGUAGGCGGCUUGACAGGUCUGCUGUGAAAACUCGAGGCUCAACCUCGAGAUGUCGGCAGAAACCGUCUGGCUAGAGUCCGGAAGAGGAGAGUGGAAUUCCUGGUGUAGCGGUGAAAUGCGCAGAUAUCAGGAAGAACACCUAUGGCGAAGGCAGCUCUCUGGGACGGUACUGACGCUGAGACGCGAAAGCGUGGGGAGCGAACAGG
rnacentral:rRNA from 1 species